CAGCUUCCUAUAACACUGCUCGACAUGGACACCCGUGAGAUGGAAGGUGGAUUAAAUGUCAUUCUCACCAUCAGGCUACUUAUGUAUGGAAAGGAAGUUGGCAGUAUCAUCGGAAAGAAAGGAGAAUCCGUUAAGAAGAUUAGAGAGGCGAGUGGUGCACGAAUCAACAUCUCAGAAGGGAAUUGUCCUGAGAGAAUUAUCACCUUGGUUGGACCCACUAAUGCCAUCUUUAAAGCUUUUGCCAUGAUCAUUGACAAACCAGAAAAAGACGUCGGCAGGUGUAUGAACAACACUACAGCUACCAGUAGACCUUUGAUCACUCUAAGGUUGGUGAUUCCUGCUAGUCAAUGUGGCUCUCUCAUUGGAAAAGGUGGUUGCAAGAUCAGGCAAAUACGAGAAAGUACAGGGGCUCAGAUCCAAAUGGCAGCAGACAUGCUUCCCAACUCAACUGAGAGGGCCAUCAGUAUUGCUGGCAUACCACAAUCCAUCAUUGAGUGUGUCAAACAGAUCUGCAUGGUCAUGUUGGAGUCUCCUCCAAAGGGCAUCACCAUUCCUUACCGGCCCAAGCCGUCAAGUUCUCUAGCCAGCUUUGUAGGCGGUCAGGACAGGUACAGCACCGGCAGCAACAGUGAGAGUUUCCCCCACACUAGCCCAUCCGUGUCCUUCAACCCUGACCAGGAGGGAUCGUCCAUAGACGUGACCAAAAUGCACCCGUUGGCAAUACAACAGUCUCAUUUUCCCAUGACAAAUGGCAACACCGGAUUCCGAGCAGGUUUGAAUGCGUCUGCUCACACUACUUGUCAAGAACUCACCAUCCCAAAUGAUUUGAUUGGCUGCAUCAUUGGGCGUCAAGGAGCCAAAAUCAAUGAGAUCCGUCGCAUGUCUGGGGCGCAGAUCAAAAUUGCAAAUCCAGUGGUAGGAUCUCCUGACAGACGGGUUACCAUCACUGGAUCUACUGCCAGCAUUAGCCUGGCUCAAUAUCUGAUCAAUGUCAGGCUUUCCUCGGAGACCAACCGCAUGGGGAGCAGCUAA